GACGAACGCUGGCGGCGUGCUUAACACAUGCAAGUCGAACGGAGUGCGAGACUACGGUAGCGCACUCAGUGGCGGACGGGUGAGUAACGCGUGAGCAACCUGCCCACAAGAGGGGGAUAACAUUCGGAAACGGAUGCUAAUACCGCAUAAGACCACGCUAUCGCAUGAUAGAGAGGUCAAAGGAGAAAUCCGCUUGUGGAGGGGCUCGCGUCCCAUUAGGUAGAUGGCGGGGUAAAGGCCCACCAUGCCGACGAUGGGUAGCCGGACUGAGAGGUUGAACGGCCACGCUGGGACUGAGACACGGCCCAGACUACUGCGGGAGGCAGCAGUGGGGAAUAUUGGGCAAUGGGGGAAACCCUGACCCAGCAACGCCGCGUGAAGGAUGAAGGUUUUCGGAUUGUAAACUUCUGUCCCAUGGGACGAAGAAAGUGACGGUACCAUGGGAGGAAGCCCCGGCUAACUACGUGCCAGCAGCCGCCGUAACAC
rnacentral:rRNA from 1 species